GGCCGGUUAGCUCAGUUGGUUAGAGCGUCGUGCUAAUAACGCGAAUGUCGCGGGUUCUAUCCCCCUACUGGCCA
rnacentral:tRNA from 1 species